ACGAGUGCGAUGGAAACCCUAAGCCAUGUCAACAUGGACGCUGUGUGAACAAAGAUGCCGGAUACAACUGUACCUGCUCACCCGGAUGGACUGGUAAGAACUGUCAACAGGACGUCAAUGAGUGCAGCGGAGAACCAUGCCUACAUGGACACUGUGAGAACAAAGAUGGCGGAUACAAUUGUACCUGCUCACCUGGAUGGACGGGACAGAACUGUCAAGAUGUAGACGAGUGUAAUAGCAAAAUAUGCCUACAUGGACGCUGUGUGAACAAAGACGGCGGAUACAACUGUACCUGCUCACCUGGAUGGACUGGACAGAACUGU